GUUAUUUUGGCAGAUUAGUGCUGGAGACUUAGAAUCUUUAUAUGUAAAAUUUUAAUUACAGGUAAUA
rnacentral:tRNA from 1 species